AAGUCAACAACAGUGUUCUUAAGCCACUGAUAAUCACUCGUCUGUCCUAAGUUCAUCAAAGAGCGCGAGACUACUGCAUUUGGCAAUUCUCCUUCACUCAUCCUGCAUUCUCAAAACUUAUCAGCAAUGGAUCUCCGUCUCUCCACAUUUCGAUUCUCAAGAAGUUUGACCACUGUUAAUCCUCUUUCGUCUUCCAAAUUCCGCCAUUAUCCUUCCUCUAAGCUUUUCACUGUCAGGUCAAGCUUGCCAUUUUCGCCUCAGCAAGCAAAGCAUUACAAAGAGCUUGAAGCUGCUGUUAAUGUCGUCCAGAGAGCUUGUCGCAUUUGUGUUGACGUGCAGAAGUCGUUAUUCUCCGACGACGGAGGGGUUCUGGAGAAGAAUGACAAUAGUCCAGUCACCAUCGCUGACUUCAGUGUUCAAGCUUUGAUUAGUUUAGAGCUGAAAAGAGAUUUUCCAUGGAUUCCCUUGGUGGCUGAAGAGGACUCUGCUUUCUUGCGUUCUAAUAAUCUUGCUGAUGCUGUGGUAAAUGUUGUCAAAGAUAACACGAGCUUCACAUCUGAACAAUUAACAGAUGAUGAAGUGCUGGAAGCAAUUGACAGAGGAGCGAGUAAUGCCAUUUCUUUUGAGGCCAAGCCGGCUACUUAUUGGGUCCUGGAUCCAAUAGAUGGGACACGGGGGUUUCUCAAAGGUGGCAAUGCCUUAUAUGUUGUUGGACUGGCACUUAUAGUUGAAGGGGAGAUGGUAUUGGGUGUUAUGGGUUGUCCAAAUUGGAAAGAAGACUCUUUAAAUGAAUCUCUUACCGAUGUCCAAGAAUGCCAAGGGAAUGAAUCUUCAUUAGGGAUCAUUAUGGCGGCUCACGUGGGCUGUGGAACAUGGACAGUUAGAUUACCUAACUUGCUUGGUGGUCUACAGAAUAUGGAUAGUUUUUGGGAAAGAUGCUUUGUUGAUGGAUCUUCUUUAGUUCACGAGGGACGUUUCUGUAUCCCCGAGAGUCAAACGUGGGAUUCAUUUCCCCUAUCAGAUUCUCUUAGUGCGACAACUAACCCUACUAAUGCAGGGGAUAAGCAAAUCCUUCUUCUCCCAAUGUGCUGUGGAAGUUUAUGCAAGUACUUGACGGUCGCUUCAGGUAGAGCAUCUGUUUUCAUUGUUCGAGCAAGGGCUGAAAGAAUAAUGAAGGCUUGGGACCAUGCUGUUGGCAUGAUUUGUGUGCAUGAAGCUGGUGGAAAGGUCACUGAUUGGAGGGGGAGAAAAAUCGAUCUAGCUGCUGAUGAAAUGGCACGAAGAAUCAUAUCUCCUUCAGGUGGUGUACUGGUGACAAAUGGAACCUUGCAUGGCCAGAUCUUGGAUUUAAUUUCUCUUAAGUCAUCAGUUGUGUCUUAGAGAUUUUACUACGUGUCUACAUCCAGAUCACCCUCUCCUACUUUAGAAAUUUGGAAGCCUAUUGGAGUAACCAUGGACUAGAAACCCUAAGAUUUGGACAAGCUGUUACCAAAUCAGGAUACUUCAUACUGGAAAAAAGAAAUUCGAUGCCUUUGUUGGAACUUGGGAUGCAAAUAGAGUACAGAACUAUUAGGGAAUGCUAAUGAGUUUGUGAUGUUAAAUGGAAUGUCCCAUGUGAAUGUAUAUGGUCAUGCAUCUCCGCUACUAUUUUUUUUCUUCAUUGGUUUUCAAUGUUUCAUUCCACUUACACCCACGUUGCUAGGUGGUAGUAAGCGGUAAAUGAAAAUUAAUGAAGAAUACAUACUUGUAACUUGAAAGUGAAGAUAUAUUACCAUGGACAUUCUGAUGGAGCAAUUCGUGGAAGAUUUUGAACUCAUUAUCAUUCCGUAACUAAUAAUCUUGUACUAACAAGCUACGAGCUUAGGAAAUGAAGAUUGUUGUUAGGAUCACCGGCCAAGCACACAUCUGACAAUCGUAUUGCUCAUUAUCUGUCGGCGGCGUACAACAUCAAGAGGUUGAUGCAUAUGGUAUAGACAAUCAUCCCAACUGUCAAAUAUUUUAGCAACUUAAAUAAUACAAAGAUGUUUAAGUAUCACAGGUUUACAUUCUAGUAUAUUUUCUACAACAGUUGCUAAUAACAUUUUAGCACUUCUGUUCUUCUGAAGGAUACUAUUUUUGUUCCUGAUUGUAAAAUAUAACUCAGAAAUGCUGUAUGAAGUUUAUUCAUGAUUUCCCAUUUGGGAAGACAUUGCUACUUCCCAAGAUUUACUUAAGGAAUUUCCUAUUGUCAUUUUUUUCA